UGGGGAAUCUUGCGCAAUGGGCGAAAGCCUGACGCAGCAACGCCGCGUGAGCGAAGAAGGCCUUCGGGUUGUAAAGCUCUGUCAGGAGGGACGAAGCCACUCGGGUGAACAGCCCAGAGGGUGACGGUACCUCCAGAGGAAGCCCCGGCUAACUACGUGCCAGCAGCCGCGGUAAUACGGAGGGGGCGAGCGUUGUCCGGAAUCAUUGGGCGUAAAGCGCGUGUAGGCGGCUUGGCAAGUCUGGUGUGAAAGCUCGAGGCUCAACCUCGAGUCUGCACCGGAAACUGCCUUGCUAGAGUCCGGAAGAGGAGACUGGAAUUCCUGGUGUAGCGGUGAAAUGCGCAGAUAUCAGGAAGAACACCGGUGGCGAAGGCGGGUCUCUGGGACGGUACUGACGCUGAGACGCGAAAGCGUGGGGAGCAAACAGG
rnacentral:rRNA from 2 species